CCUACGGGAGGCAGCAGUGAGGAAUAUUGGUCAAUGGACGAGAGUCUGAACCAGCCAAGUAGCGUGAAGGAUGAAUGCCCUAUGGGUGGUAAACUUCUUUUAUAUGGGAAUAAAAUGUUCCACGUGUGGGAUUUUGUAUGUACCAUAUGAAUAAGGAUCGGCUAACUCCGUGCCAGCAGCCGCGGUAAUACGGAGGAUCCGGGCGUUAUCCGGAUUUAUUGGGUUUAAAGGGGGCGUAGGUGGAUUGUUAAGUCAGUUGUGAAAGUUUGCGGCUCAACCGUAAAAUUGCAGUUGAAACUGGCAGUCUUGAGUACAGUAGAGGUGGGCGGAAUUCGUGGUGUAGCGGUGAAAUGCUUAGAUAUCACGAAGAACUCCGAUUGUGAAGGCAGCUCACUGGACUGCAACUGACACUGAGGCUCGAAAGUGUGGGUAUCAAACAGGAUUAGAUACCCUAGUAGUC
rnacentral:rRNA from 1 species